rnacentral:misc_RNA from 1 species
UGGAAGUAAAAGUCGUAACAAGGUUUCCGUAGGUGAACCUGCGGAAGGAUCAUUACCGAGUGAGGGCCCUCUGGGUCCAACCUCCCACCCGUGUUUAUUUUACCUUGUUGCUUCGGCGGGCCCGCCUUAACUGGCCGCCGGGGGGCUCACGCCCCCGGGCCCGCGCCCGCCGAAGACACCCUCGAACUCUGUCUGAAGAUUGAAGUCUGAGUGAAAAUAUAAAUUAUUUAAAACUUUCAACAACGGAUCUCUUGGUUCCGGCAUCGAUGAAGAACGCAGCGAAAUGCGAUACGUAAUGUGAAUUGCAAAUUCAGUGAAUCAUCGAGUCUUUGAACGCACAUUGCGCCCCCUGGUAUUCCGGGGGGCAUGCCUGUCCGAGCGUCAUUGCUGCCCUCAAGCCCGGCUUGUGUGUUGGGCCCCGUCCUCCGAUUUCCGGGGGACGGGCCCGAAAGGCAGCGGCGGCACCGCGUCCGGUCCUCGAGCGUAUGGGGCUUUGUCACCCGCUCUGUAGGCCCGGCCGGCGCUUGCCGAUCAACCCAAAUUUUUAUCCAGGUUGACCUCGGAUCAGGUAGGGAUACCCGCUGAACUUAAGCAUAUCAAUAAGCGGAGGA